rnacentral:rRNA from 1 species
ACAGCAGCAGCCGCGGUAAUACGUAGGGCGCAAGCGUUAUCCGGAAUUAUUGGGCGUAAAGAGCUCGUAGGCGGUUUGUCGCGUCUGCCGUGAAAGUCCGGGGCUCAACCCCGGAUCUGCGGUGGGUACGGGCAGACUAGAGUGAUGUAGGGGAGACUGGGAUUCCUGGUGUAGCGGUGAAAUGCGCAGAUAUCAGGAGGAACACCGAUGGCGAAGGCAGGUCUCUGGGCAUUAACUGACGCUGAGGAGCGAAAGCAUGGGGAGCGAACAGGAUUAGAUACCCCCGUAGUCCCUGUCUCUUAUAC